GAAUUGUGUGAUGCUUGAGCUGCUGCUGCAGUUUGGUGCUGAUAUAAAUAUGCGCGACUUUCAUAGCAGGACUCAUUUGCACCAUUGCGUUGCACUAGGGAACAACUCAUUGGCAAAGCAUCUACUAAUAAGAGGAGCAAAGUCUUCAAUUACAGAUGAGGGGUGAUUAAGUGCACUAGAAAAGGCGAUGGAGAAGGGAGCAAUUAAAGGUGAGGAACUGAUUAUUCUGCUGAAUGAAAGCUAGUGAAACAAACGUAUCAGGGUACUAUUUAUGCUGCUGAAUGAAAGCUAGUGAAACGGUUUUUUAGUUAGUUCGGCUGUUCUUUUAUCGGUUCUCUGGAAAAAGUAUCAGGGAAGCCCCUGUCCCUAGGGGUGGAAUGCAUUUCAAUCCCUCUACUGAAAAUGGGCAAAUUAACCUUAUCUAUUUCGAAACAUACGUAAUUGAAUUUGAAAAUAAAAA